UCCGCAAUAGCUCAGUCGGUAGAGCACGUGACUGUUAAUCACGCUGUCGCAGGUUCGAGUCCUGCUUGCGGAG
rfam:Atopostipes suicloacalis DSM 15692 genome assembly, contig: EJ15DRAFT_scaffold00011.11